CUUGUCUGCUUGUUCUUUCGAGGACUUCCAGUGUUAUAUUGAAUAGAAGUGGUGAGAGUGGGCAUUUUUGUCUUGCUCCAGAUGUCAGAGGAAAACCUUUCAACUCUUCACCAUUGUGAUGUAAACUGUAGGCGUAUCAUAUAUGGCCUUUAUUGUGUUGAGUUUGGAGAGUUUUGAAAUUACCUUUGGAUGGCUUUCACUGAGGAGAUAUGUUUGCUUAUCUAUUUUAAGUCAAGAAAAAACAGAUAAAUAUUCAUAUUAUUUCUUGCUAACUAACUCAGUUGGCAAAUUAUUUUUGUAUACUGGGGUUAGUGCCUACUCACAUUAAACUUUUUAAAAAGGAGAUUGAGUUUAAAAUGAGACCACUUUUUAAUCAGGACAAACUAUUCGAGAGAAAAGAAUUGUAGAAGCAGCAAAAAAACAAGAAGUAGACUAUGAACCAGGGGAUAUUCCAACAGAAUGGGAAGCUUGGAUUAGAAGAACAAGAAAGACUCCACCUACUAUGGAGGUAAGACUACACAAGAAAAAUAUCUCUUAGGAGUGUGUAUUCCCAAGGAUAUAUGAACCUUCAGAAAAUGUAUGAUGUGUUCUCCCAAAGCGUUGAUUUUAUUCCAUAGAAAAUAACUUAAAACAUUUUUAUAAUAAAGUAAUAUAUAAACAUAUCACUAAUAUAAUAUAUGAUAAAAUAAGUGCUCAUAUUAUGGAAUACAACAAAAUUUACAUAAAAUUUAAAAUUAAACAAUAAAAUUUUAAAACAAAA